GACGAACGCUGGCGGCGUGCUUAACACAUGCAAGUCGAGCGGAAAGGCCCUGCUUUUGUGGGGUGCUCGAGUGGCGAACGGGUGAGUAACACGUGAGUAACCUGCCCUUGACUUUGGGAUAACUUCAGGAAACUGGGGCUAAUACCGGAUAGGAGCUCCUGCUGCAUGGUGGGGGUUGGAAAGUUUCGGCGGUUGGGGAUGGACUCGCGGCUUAUCAGCUUGUUGGUGGGGUAGUGGCUUACCAAGGCUUUGACGGGUAGCCGGCCUGAGAGGGUGACCGGCCACAUUGGGACUGAGAUACGGCCCAGACUCCUACGGGAGGCAGCAGUGGGGAAUAUUGCACAAUGGGCGGGAGCCUGAUGCAGCAACGCCGCGUGCGGGAUGACGGCCUUCGGGUUGUAAACCGCUUUCGCCUGUGACGAAGCGUGAGUGACGGUAAUGGGUAAAGAAGCACCGGCUAACUACGUG
rnacentral:rRNA from 1 species